CGAGUGGCGGACGGGUGAGUAAUGUCUGGGAAACUGCCCGAUGGAGGGGGAUAACUACUGGAAACGGUAGCUAAUACCGCAUAACGUCGCAAGACCAAAGAGGGGGACCUUCGGGCCUCUUGCCAUCGGAUGUGCCCAGAUGGGAUUAGCUAGUAGGUGGGGUAACGGCUCACCUAGGCGACGAUCCCUAGCUGGUCUGAGAGGAUGACCAGCCACACUGGAACUGAGACACGGUCCAGACUCCUACGGGAGGCAGCAGUGGGGAAUAUUGCACAAUGGGCGCAAGCCUGAUGCAGCCAUGCCGCGUGUAUGAAGAAGGCCUUCGGGUUGUAAAG
rnacentral:rRNA from 1 species